rnacentral:rRNA from 1 species
AUUGAACGCUGGCGGCACGCCUUACACAUGCAAGUCGAACGGCAGCGGACCUUCGGGUGCCGGCGAGUGGCGAACGGGUGAGUAAUAUAUCGGAACGUACCUUUCAGUGGGGGAUAACGUAGCGAAAGUUACGCUAAUACCGCAUAUUCUGUGAGCAGGAAAGCAGGGGAUCGCAAGACCUUGCGCUGAUUGAGCGGCCGAUAUCAGAUUAGCUAGUUGGUGAGGUAAAGGCUCACCAAGGCGACGAUCUGUAGCGGGUCUGAGAGGAUGAUCCGCCACACUGGAACUGAGACACGGUCCAGACUCCUACGGGAGGCAGCAGUGGGGAAUUUUGGACAAUGGGCGCAAGCCUGAUCCAGCCAUGCCGCGUGAGUGAAGAAGGCC